rnacentral:rRNA from 6 species
UUAAAUUGAAGAGUUUGAUCAUGGCUCAGAUUGAACGCUGGCGGCAGGCCUAACACAUGCAAGUCGAACGGUAACAGGAAGCAGCUUGCUGCUUUGCUGACGAGUGGCGGACGGGUGAGUAAUGUCUGGGAAACUGCCUGAUGGAGGGGGAUAACUACUGGAAACGGUGGCUAAUACCGCAUAACGUCGCAAGACCAAAGAGGGGGACCUUCGGGCCUCUUGCCAUCAGAUGUGCCCAGAUGGGAUUAGCUUGUUGGUGAGGUAACGGCUCACCAAGGCGACGAUCCCUAGCUGGUCUGAGAGGAUGACCAGCCACACUGGAACUGAGACACGGUCCAGACUCCUACGGGAGGCAGCAGUGGGGAAUAUUGCACAAUGGGCGCAAGCCUGAUGCAGCCAUGCCGCGUGUAUGAAGAAGGCCUUCGGGUUGUAAAGUACUUUCAGCGGGGAGGAAGGUGUUGUGGUUAAUAACCGCAGCAAUUGACGUUACCCGCAGAAGAAGCACCGGCUAACUCCGUGCCAGCAGCCGCGGUAAUACGGAGGGUGCAAGCGUUAAUCGGAAUUACUGGGCGUAAAGCGCACGCAGGCGGUCUGUCAAGUCGGAUGUGAAAUCCCCGGGCUCAACCUGGGAACUGCAUUCGAAACUGGCAGGCUUGAGUCUUGUAGAGGGGGGUAGAAUUCCAGGUGUAGCGGUGAAAUGCGUAGAGAUCUGGAGGAAUACCGGUGGCGAAGGCGGCCCCCUGGACAAAGACUGACGCUCAGGUGCGAAAGCGUGGGGAGCAAACAGGAUUAGAUACCCUGGUAGUCCACGCCGUAAACGAUGUCUACUUGGAGGUUGUGCCCUUGAGGCGUGGCUUCCGGAGCUAACGCGUUAAGUAGACCGCCUGGGGAGUACGGCCGCAAGGUUAAAACUCAAAUGAAUUGACGGGGGCCCGCACAAGCGGUGGAGCAUGUGGUUUAAUUCGAUGCAACGCGAAGAACCUUACCUGGUCUUGACAUCCACGGAAGUUUUCAGAGAUGAGAAUGUGCCUUCGGGAACCGUGAGACAGGUGCUGCAUGGCUGUCGUCAGCUCGUGUUGUGAAAUGUUGGGUUAAGUCCCGCAACGAGCGCAACCCUUAUCCUUUGUUGCCAGCGGUCCGGCCGGGAACUCAAAGGAGACUGCCAGUGAUAAACUGGAGGAAGGUGGGGAUGACGUCAAGUCAUCAUGGCCCUUACGACCAGGGCUACACACGUGCUACAAUGGCGCAUACAAAGAGAAGCGACCUCGCGAGAGCAAGCGGACCUCAUAAAGUGCGUCGUAGUCCGGAUUGGAGUCUGCAACUCGACUCCAUGAAGUCGGAAUCGCUAGUAAUCGUGGAUCAGAAUGCCACGGUGAAUACGUUCCCGGGCCUUGUACACACCGCCCGUCACACCAUGGGAGUGGGUUGCAAAAGAAGUAGGUAGCUUAACCUUCGGGAGGGCGCUUACCACUUUGUGAUUCAUGACUGGGGUGAAGUCGUAACAAGGUAACCGUAGGGGAACCUGCGGUUGGAUCACCUCCUUACCUUAAAGAA